CCUACGGGUGGCAGCAGUGGGGAAUAUUGGGCAAUGGGCGCAAGCCUGACCCAGCAACGCCGCGUGAAGGAAGACGGCCUUCGGGUUGUAAACUUCUUUUGUUAGGGACGAAGCAUGUGACGGUACCUGACGAAUAAGCCACGGCUAACUACGUGCCAGCAGCCGCGGUAAUACGUAGGCGGCAAGCGUUAUCCGGAUUUAUUGGGUGUAAAGGUCGUGUAGGCGGGACUGCAAGUCAGAUGUGAAAUCAACGGGCUCAACCGGUGGCGUGCAUUUGAAACUGUAUUUCUUGAGUACUGGAGAGGCAGACGGAAUUCGUAGUGUAGCGGUGAAAUGCGUAGAUAUUAGGAAGAACACCGGUGGCGAAGGCAGUCUGCUGGACAGCAACUGACGCUGAGGCGCGAAAGCGUGGGGAGCAAACAGGAUUAGAUACCCCGGUAGUC
rnacentral:rRNA from 1 species